rnacentral:rRNA from 1 species
UGCAGUCGACGGUGACACGGAGCUUGCUCUGUGGGAUCAGUGGCGAACGGCGUGAGUAACACGUGAGCAACCUGCCCCUGACUCUGGGAUAAGCGCUGGAAACGGCGUCUAAUACUGGAUAUGUGACGUGACCGCAUGGUCUGCGUCUGGAAAGAAUUUCGGUUGGGGAUGGGCUCGCGGCCUAUCAGCUUGUUGGUGAGGUAAUGGCUCACCAAGGCGUCGACGGGUAGCCGGCCUGAGAGGGUGACCGGCCACACUGGGACUGAGACACGGCCCAGACUCCUACGGGAGGCAGCAGUGGGGAAUAUUGCACAAUGGGCGCAAGCCUGAUGCAGCAACGCCGCGUGAGGGACGACGGCCUUCGGGUUGUAAACCUCUUUUAGCAGGGAAGAAGCGAAAGUGACGGUACCUGCAGAAAAAGCGCCGGCUAACUACGUGCCAGCAGCCGCGGUAAUACGUAGGGCGCAAGCGUUAUCCGGAAUUAUUGGGCGUAAAGAGCUCGUAGGCGGUUUGUCGCGUCUGCUGUGAAAUCCGGAGGCUCAACCUCCGGCCUGCAGUGGGUACGGGCAGACUAGAGUGCGGUAGGGGGAGAUUGGAAUUCCUGGUGUAGCGGUGGAAUGCGCAGAUAUCAGGAGGAACACCGAUGGCGAAGGCAGAUCUCUGGGCCGUAACUGACGCUGAGGAGCGAAAGGGUGGGGAGCAAACAGGCUUAGAUACCCUGGUAGUCCACCCCGUAAACGUUGGGAACUAGUUGUGGGGUCCAUUCCACGGAUUCCGUGACGCAGCUAACGCAUUAAGUUCCUCGCCUGGGGGAGUACGGCCGCAAGGCUAAACUCAAGGGAAUUGACGGGGACCC